rnacentral:SRP_RNA from 1 species
GCUGAGCCUGGUAACGUGGGCUUGUAACCUGAGCGGGGGCAUUGAAAUGGUGGAAUGUUGAGAAGGUAGGACUUUGUGGGCUAUUCUCUGGGCCUGCCCUAUCCAAGCAUAGAGUUGGGCUAUGUGGCCCAAGUGAAGGCAUGGGCUGCUUAGCUCCUGAAGAGGGGCGGACUGCGUCAGGCUGGUUUCACAGAGCAACGAACAGCUCCCUCUCCGUGCAGUGGAAGGAUAACGGGCUGGUCUUCACAAAGACCAACAAAAGCCCGAUGGGCUGCUCCAAUUAAACCACCAUUUUU